rnacentral:tRNA from 1 species
GUCUUCAUGGUGUAGUUGGUUAUCACGUUCGCUUUACACGCGAAAGGUCCUCGGUUCGAACCCGGGUGAAGACA